rnacentral:tRNA from 1 species
GUGGGCGUAGCUCAGGCGGUUAGAGCACCAGAUUGUGGAUCUGGGGGUCGGGGGUUCAACUCCCCUCGCCCACCCCA